AUUGAACGCUGGCGGCAUGCCUUACACAUGCAAGUCGAACGGCAGCACGGGUGCUUGCCCCUGGUGGCGAGUGGCGAACGGGUGAGUAAUACAUCGGAACAUGUCCUGUAGUGGGGGAUAGCCCGGCGAAAGCCGGAUUAAUACCGCAUACGAUCUACGGAUGAAAGCGGGGGACCUUCGGGCCUCGCGCUAUAGGGUUGGCCGAUGGCUGAUUAGCUAGUUGGUGGGGUAAAGGCCUACCAAGGCGACGAUCAGUAGCUGGUCUGAGAGGACGACCAGCCACACUGGGACUGAGACACGGCCCAGACUCCUACGGGAGGCAGCAGUGGGGAAUUUUGGCCACUGGGCGAACGCCUGCUCCCGCCCUGCCGCGUGUGUGAAGAAGGCCUUCGGGUUGUAAAGCACUUUUGUCCGGAAAGAAAUCCUUGGCCCUAAUACGGUCGGGGGAUGACGGUACCGGCAGAAUAAGCACCGGCUCACUACGUG
rnacentral:rRNA from 1 species